rnacentral:rRNA from 1 species
GGACGAACGCUGGCGGCGUGCUUAAUACAUGCAAGUCAACUUGACUUUAGAUAGCAAUAUCGAAAAGUAGGGUGGCGCACGGGUGCGUAACGCGUAGGUAAUCUGCCCUGAGGUCUGACAUAACCCGUCGAAAGGCGGGCUAACAUCAGAUGAUAUAUAAUCACGACAUCGUGGAAAUAUCAAAUCUUCGGAGCCUUGGGAUGAGCCUGCGUCUGAUUAGGUAGUUGGCGGAGUAAUAGCCCACCAAGCCUACGAUCAGUAGCUGGUCUGAGAGGAUGAUCAGCCACACUGGAACUGAGACACGGUCCAGACUCCUACGGGAGGCAGCAGUAAGGAAUAUUGCUCAAUGGGGGGAAACCCUGAAGCAGCAACGCCGCGUGAAGGAUGAAAUACUUUGUAUGUAAACUUCUGUAAGAUGGGAAAAAUAUUCUCCUCGGGAGAAUUGAUUGUACCAUCAGAGUAAGCCCCGGCUAACUACGUG